UCCAUUGUUCAUAGUUAAGGUUAGAGUUGUGUAGAGUUCAAGAGCCUGAUGGCUGUUGGGAAGAAGCUAUUCUCAAACUUGGUGGUCAUGGUUUCUAGACUCAUGUGUCUUCUUGCUGGUGGCAGGAGCGGG